GCCGAGAAUUACAUGGGCGGUAUUUUUUGCUAAUCCGGUCAGGUUCGAAAGAAAGCAGCCGUAACAUAGAAUAUCGGGUCGUGUAAUUCUCCUUAAU
rnacentral:SRP_RNA from 1 species